CACUGAAUGCUGUUUCCUUGUUCCUGGAAAGGAAGUUGCCCUGACAGGGUCUGACUUGCCACUUGUGCUCGUUUCACUGCUCACCCAUCUGCUACAGUGGCACUGUGCCCAUGCAGGGGAUGGGAUGCCAGCUUCACAUGAGUUUACGUGCCAAAAAGUAAUAGCUGGAGAGGGAUAAAAUGCAGGAUGAAAACAUGACAUCAUCUUCAGAGGGAGAUAAUCCUGGUGGUGAGCAGUGCUGAGUGCAGAACACUCCUGCCUCCGUGCAGGGGAGCACAUCUGUCAGCAAAGUCUGGCUCACAGAGCUCCUUUGUCUUUAAUUAACAUGAGCACACUCCUCUUUCCCCAAUGUCCCUUCCGUGCUUCCCAGUCUCUCAGAAAUUCAGAGGACAGUCAGGCCCUUCAGAAAGGCAAAACUGCCAUUACCCAGGAGCCUUUUAUCUAAUUAGCCCCGCAAGGGGCUUGUCCAGUCUGUCCCUUUUGUCCUGGAAGGGACAGCUGUGCCCAGGACAGGUGGCUAUUCCAGCUGGAGCUUCCCUCAGUUUCCACCACCACACUCACACUUCUCCUCCUGUGGUGUCAUAAUGGGUCAUUUUUUUUUGUUUGUGCACACAGCCAUCAAUGCAGGGAUUCACUGCCUGGAGCUCCCAAGAACCAGGAGUUAAAGCAGCAUCCAUAAAUACGAGGAUUCUCCUGCCCAGUUAUCCAGUCUUUCUGCUGUAAUAGUUAGACACGGUUUCAUGUUUUACUUUUCUACUGCCAGAACCUCCUGCAAAGCAGAGCAGGUUGAAAUGUUUACUUUGACUCACAUCUCCCAAGGCUGAGCAAAGGCAGCUGCAGUGAAGGGCCUUCGGUGUGAGUGUGGAAGAAGUUCUUCCUCCUCAAAAAUUCCUGCAUGGCAUUUAUGUGGAAUCUCACACAAGCGUGUCCUGGCUCAGCACUGCCAUUCCCAGGCACUUGUAGCUGUGCAAUCAGGCUAAGGAGACGUCCAAACAUCAGCUAAAAAACCAAGUGUGAUUUAGAAAGUUACGAGUUUUAAGAACUGAAAAGGAGUGAUGACAGUGAAUACUAAGAAAAUGUGAUUACUCAGCAUGGAAUUCUCCCAGCUGUGCUUUUCACCAGCUCUUCAAGCAGAGUUUACUCUCCAGCACGAAAUUCAAGAGCCAGUUAAACUUCACUUUCUCAGGUUUAAAGGAAACAGCAUGAAAACACUCAGUUAUGCUCACAAAAUGAUGCCACGUCAUCCAAGGAUUGACUGGUUCCAGAAAUUAGCAGAGUCACUGCACGGAUGCUUUAUGGCCAUGGAGAGGCUCCCACUGACAGCCACUCCCCUGAGUUGAGAAAGUUAUUCCAUCUGCUGGGUUUUUUUUAAGAAAUAUGAAAUAAAACAUGUAUAGAAAAACAUAUAUAGAAAUAUAUAGAAAAAUUUACCCUGAUAUAUCUCUGGCCAUUUAAAUGUAAGACUCCUAACCAACAGGAACAGAUCACAACCAACCAUGUGCAAGAGUUCCCUUUGUGCUCAAAAAGGGA